rnacentral:lncRNA from 1 species
UUAUUUUUCUUCUCUGGCUUUCCUAUUAAUAGAAAAGCCCCAGGGAUUUGUUUUUCUCUUAUGUGGCACCUCAGAUGGGCAUCCUCCCCCCUCGCGACCCAGUACACCUCUCCCCGCACUAAGCCCAGCUUCCACGUCCCUCCUUCUCCUUCAGAUGCCGUUUCCCCCCUCUGCCUCCUUUCCGUCAGCUUAUAGAGAGAGCGCGCGAGCCGCCGUAAGGCACAAACGUCAAGGUCCCCUCAUAUAAUGUGGACGUCCGUGCCUCCCCUCUUCUAGAGUUCCUCCUCUUCCCCAUCUGCGCCGCCACCUCUCUCCUUCCCCCUCCUUCC